AAACGACCGGAUCCAUUGGUUUCCUGACAGGAGGGCCGCAAGUUGCGUAAUGUUGGGACAAUGGUGGGCAAAACCUGAUCCAGCGAUGCCGGCGAAUGAAGCAAGCCUUGCGGUUGUAAAGUUGUCUCGGCGGGGAGAAAUUGCCACAAGUUAAUACCCUGUGUGGAUGACGGUACCGGAAUAAGAGCACCGGCUAACUACGUGCCAGCAGCCGCGGUAAUACGUAGGGUGCGAGCGUUUAUCGGAAUAUCUGGCGUAAAGCGUGCGCAGGCGGUUUGGAUACACGCGUGAAUCCCCGGGCUCAACCUGGGAACUGCGCUUGUGACUGCUAAGCUAGAGUACGGCAGAGGGGGGUGGAAUUCCACGUGUAGCAGUGAAAGGGGUAGAGAUGUGGAGGAACACCGAUGGCGAAGGCAGCCCCCUGGGCCGAUACUGACGCUCAUGCACGAAAGAGUGGGUAGCAAACAGGAUUAGAUACCCUGGUAGUCCACGCCCUAAACGAUGUCAACUAGGUGUUGGGAGGGUAAAACCUUUUAGUACCGGAGCUAACGCGUGAAGUUGACCGCUU
rnacentral:rRNA from 1 species